rnacentral:rRNA from 1 species
UACGGGGGGGGCAAGCGUUGUUCGGAAUUACUGGGCGUAAAGGGCGCGUAGGUGGCCCACUAAGUCAGACGUGAAAUCCCCAGGCUCAACUUGGGAACUGCGUCUGAUACUGGAUGGCUUGAAUUCGAGAGAGGGAUGCAGAAUUCCAGGUGUAGCGGUGAAAUGCGUAGAUAUCGGGAGGAACACCUGUGGCGAAGGCGGCGACCUGGUCCGAUACUGACGCUGAGGCGCGAAAGCGUGGGGAGCAAACAGG